UUAUAAAAAUAAACAAAAAGAGAGACAAGAAAAGUAAGUAAUUUCGCAAAAUUUAUAAUUUUGAUAUAAAUAUAAUAAUAUCAUUUAUUUUUAGGCUUACAAAAUGUGGUUUAUUUCACUAUUUUCAUCAUGUGUAAAUGUACAGCUCAAUUUAUGCGCUUGUUUAUUUAUAUGCAAGUUCUUACCCCUACAAAAAACUGCUGAUGGGUUUACCAAUACACUCACAUUUGUUAUGUCAGUACUACCCGUCAAUUGAUCGCCACUGUUAUUGUUAAAAUGAGUAGUAAGGGUAGAUUUAUAUUUGUUACUAUACUAUAGCUUUACAUAUGUAAGAAUGAAAUAACUGCAUUUAUUAGUACUGUCACCAAUGACAGUGAAAUGAACAGUAAAAUUACUGUCAAUGUUUACGAUUUUUCCAAAAGCAAAUUUUGUAUACGUCGAAAAAGACAGCACACAUUUCCAUAGGAGUUUCGAGAAGUUGUGAAAUAUCUAUGUAGCUGUUAUUCCGUGCGAUAAACCAAAAGUGUUGGGUGCUCCUGUGCAAUAACUCUUUUUGUGUUGAAAAAUAAAUAAAUAACAAAAUAAUUUUCAAAUAUAUCAUACUUAGAUAUUUUUAAAUUCUAAAGCAUCCAUGAACUGGAGAAACACGUACAGCAGAGCUUUUGAAAGGGGCAAGCAUGGAAUCAACUUUGAUGGUUUUAUGAUCAGCAAUGACUCAGGAAAAGGCAUGAGAGUGAGCAGUAUAGAUGUAUAGUGAAUCAAUACCGAAUAUCUAUGUGUUAAAGGGAGAUGCAAAAUCACACACAUGCAUUUGUUUACAUCAGUUUUUGCACAAGGCCCUUAAGAAAAUGAUAGAAACUUUGCUCUGCGCAUUAACAAAAUUUGUUCAGCUGUGACUGUCAUUUACCGGUCAGAUGACUGUCACUGUGCUCGUAAGGACACUAAAUAUGUUUGUUAUGUUAAAAGUUGAAUGCAUGUAUAAUGCAAGCAUAUUAUGCUUCUUUGUGUUUGUUUUGUAUUGUCUCGUAUUGUAUAUAUAUGUGAUAUGAGAUAUGUGUUCUUGUAAUAGUUAGAAUUACAUAUUUUCGUGUAAAGAAUUCACCAGAUCUUUAUGAUGGCUAUUAUUAUAUUUUACAUAUUUAUAUAUCAUAAAAUAACUGAAUUAUUUAAACAUAACUAUCUUUUUAU